rnacentral:rRNA from 1 species
UAGGGAAUAUUGCGCAAUGGACGCAAGUCUGACGCAGCAACGCCGCGUGAGUGAAGAAGGCCUUCGGGUUGUAAAGCUCUGUCGAGUGGGACGAAAAGCUUACGGUUAAUAGUCGUGAGUCUGACGGUACCACUAAAGGAAGCACCGGCUAACUCCGUGCCAGCAGCCGCGGUAAUACGGAGGGUGCAAGCGUUGCUCGGAAUUAUUGGGCGUAAAGGGUAGGUAGGUGGUCUCGUGUGUCUAUCGUGAAAGCACACGGCUCAACCGUGUAAAGUCGGUGGAAACUGCAGGACUUGAGGUUGGGAGGGGCUGGUGGAGUUCCCUGUGUAGCGGUGAAAUGCGUAGAGAUGGGGGAGAACACUUGUGGCGAAGGCGGCCAGCUGGACCAAUCCUGACACUGAGGCGCGACAGCGUGGGGAGCAAACAGGAUUAGAUACCCUGGUAGUCCCUGAGCGGGCUGGCAAGGCGCAU